rnacentral:rRNA from 1 species
UACAGAGGGGGCAAGCGUUGUUCGGAAUUACUGGGCGUAAAGGGCGCGUAGGCGGCCUGUUAAGUCGAACGUGAAAUCCCCGGGCUCAACCCGGGAACUGCGUCCGAUACUGGCAGGCUUGAAUCCGGGAGAGGGAUGCGGAAUUCCAGGUGUAGCGGUGAAAUGCGUAGAUAUCUGGAGGAACACCGGUGGCGAAGGCGGCAUCCUGGACCAUAACUGACGCUGAGACACGAAAGCGUGGGUAGCAAACAGG